CCGGCCGAGACUUUCGACGUUUUCGAACUCGGGACCUCGCGCGUGCAAGGCGCGCGCUCUUCCAACUGAGCUACCGG
rnacentral:tRNA from 1 species